UCUUUUCUUUCUCUCCUGUUCUUCUUCUUCUUCACUCUUUCUUUCCUCUGCUUCUCCUCUCCUCCUGUUCUUUCUCUUCUGCAUGUGAUUGAGAAAUCAAAUGGAGGCGUUGUCAUCAACAUAAGGUGGAGACGAUCAUGUAGUAGUCGCUGGUGAUGAUGUUGUGGUCAAUUAAGCUCGGGAUGAAGGAGAAGAUUGAGUUACUGUAAAUCGAAAUUAGGGUUUAUAAAUUUGUUUGAUGUUCUGAAGAAUAAUAAGAUGAUAUAUAGAGAUACUGUUGGAUAAGGAGGCUUGGGUAGAUGUUUAAUUGAAAUUCUGGAAUCGUUUUGAAGAUGAAUCAGAGAACCAAGUUAGGGUUUCUCAGAGAAUUGUAUUGAAGCUCGAAUUAAUGGUGUAUAAGAGGAAUUAAAGAUUGGGUUUUGGGUAAUUGGGAAAGGGUUGGUGUUUAAUUGAUGAAGAGAAGUUGUUGUGAAUUUGAAUUGAAAGGAAAGAAUUAGGGGUUAUGUUCUGUUCUUCCCCAAUUUGUGAAUUAGGGUUUCGGGGGAUGGAUGAUUAUGAGACUCAGAUCGAGAGAGAAACAGAGCAAAGUUGGUUUUGACAAAUGGUGGUGGUUUUGAGAUGAUUCUCAAUUGAGCCAGGGGAAGCAAAAAUCCGACUCCAAUUGCCUGUGUGAGACUGUUAUGAGGUAAUUGUCCUUCUAAUCUGUUUAGUGAAGUUAUUUAGUAUCUUUGACUGAGUAUGUGUAGUUGAUAUUUGAGCUAAGGCCUGAGUUGGGUAUGAAGUGGAGUUUGGUUGCUGUUUUGAAUUACAGAGAAUUGUUGUAUGUUGAAUUGAAGUUCAGUAUGCUAGAAUUGGAGUUGUUAUGGGUUUGGUGUUUGAGUAGAUGAUGUAUGAAUGAGGUUAUAGGUAGUGGUGGUGUUAUUAUGAGUUAGCUGUGGUGGUGAUGAUGAUGAUGUUACAGGAGAGGAGAUGCGUAUUGGUGGUGGAGCUGUAAUUGUAGUUGAUUUAGGAAUGAAGAUUACAGUUUGUAAGGAGAGUGUUGAAGUGAUUUGGCAGAUUGGCUACAGGGGUGAUUUAAUGAGUUACAGAACAUGGUUAUAGAAUUGGAUAGGUACUGUUAUGGACUGUAGUUGUAUGUGUGAAGUGGAUGCAAUUUGUGAUGUUGCUGAGUUGAAUUUGGAUGUUACCUAAAGCUGCAAGUGCAGUUUCAGAGACCGACCAGAGUUGCACAGCGAAAGCUCCGAGAAGUUGACUUCUUUAGUUGGUUAUAAUCUGAUAUGUUAUUAUGUUGUAUAUUCUAUUUGUAAACCAAAUGAUUAUUGUAUGUGUAUCAUUUGAGAGAAGAUCUUGUAUGUAUAUUUCUGAGCGGGGUUAGUUUUGGGUUAAGUUUUAUAGCAGAUUCCUUAAUCAAAUGUUUAAGUAAUUGAUUUAAAUUCUUAGUGCCUCUUUAUUUAGUUAACCUCUUUAUUUAGUCAGCUGCUAGAUUAGGGGGUGCUACAUGGCCCUUGAGGAAGAUGUGGAAGUUGUUCCUCUUGAGGAUGUUGAAGCGGAGAACGUUGCUGACGUCCCAAAAAUAUCCGAAAGGGAAGUUGAGGCAGACUUGAAGGAGGAAACAACGGCGACCUAUGACGACGGUGUUGAAGUAGACUCCGGUGAUGGUGAAGGCACGAUUGAUCUCCUUGAUAACUAAAUCUCCCUGUUCCUUUUUCGUCUCUUUUUUUUUGACGAAUGUUUUCUCGUAAUUUGUGAACACUUUCCUUGUACUCAGUGGCGGCCGAGUUUAAGGUCUUUUUCCA